rnacentral:rRNA from 1 species
GUGAGGAAUAUUGGACAAUGGCCGGAAGGCUGAUCCAGCCAUGCCGCGUGAAGGAUAAGGUCCUAUGGAUUGUAAACUUCUUUUGAGAGGGAGCAAUAAGGAUGUCGAGACAUCCGAUGAGAGUACCUUUCGAAUAAGCAUCGGCUAACUCCGUGCCAGCAGCCGCGGUAAUACGGAGGAUGCGAGCGUUAUCCGGAUUUAUUGGGUUUAAAGGGUGCGUAGGCGGUUUGUCAAGUCAGCGGUGAAACGCAAGGGCUUAACCCUUGACCUGCCGUUGAAACUGAUUGACUAGAAUGCGGAUGCUGUGGGAGGAAUGUGUGGUGUAGCGGUGAAAUGCAUAGAUAUCACACAGAACACCGAUUGCGAAGGCAUCUCACAAAUCCGUGAUUGACGCUGAGGCACGAAAGUGUGGGGAUCAAACAGGAUUAGAAACCCUAGUAGUCC